GUUUGCUCCUGAUGUGACCACAAUCUCCAUUCUCUCCUAGAUCAGCUUAGAAAUAGUCAAGGAGGCAUGAGGGGAUUUCGGGGUUUGUGACCUCGAGCUGUUCUAGGACAUUCUGUAAAAAACAUUCUGCUUUCAUCUCAGAAUAUCUGAACAAUUGUGAAGAGCUGAGGAGACAGGGAGAAGGCCCUAUUUCUAGAACAGGCCCAGGACACAGUGUGAGAAGACAAACAGGAAAGGGGCCUUUGGUAACGUGGCGUCUGCGUGGGGGAGCUCGGGUCAGUGCAGGGCGGGAGUCCUGUUAGGCCUUCAGUGAAGGCAUUUAGAAGGGAGUAAAAGGCCUCCGCUGGAGCCGGAGUGAGGAAAUGCUUCGGAAAACUCAGCCAGAUGAAAGAGCUGAUGAAGUGGUUGUUUGCAGGGCUUGGAGCAGACAGAUGGCCGGCAACGCCAAAGGCUGCGUGUGUUAAAAUAUGCAUUGGCCGGAAAGAGCCUGAGGUCUUCUGUGACCAGGAUCCAGUGCCCAGGCAGCCCUGGGGCUCAGCCUGCAGGUGGGUUGCACGAAGGUUCGAAGGCAUCACACAUCCAAGCAACACACUCGUCCUCAGGAGGUCGCCAUGGCACGGAACUGUCUGCUGCCUGAUGGGGAGGCCCUCGGAUUCCCUCAUCAACCUGUUCAUUCCAGACGUGCAGCCAGCAGGUCCCAAGGCAAAUAUGAGCUCUGGACCAGCACCAUACACCCCAGGGCUGAUAAGGUCAUACAGCUGCUCUCCCAGCACAGCCGCACCGUGGUGAGCCGGGCCGUGAGCUGGUAUGUAGACCAAUCGGGCCGUGUUUUCUACACGUUCUGUGCUGUGGGUCCACGCGAGAGUGGGGGAACGAGUGCGUGUGCAGAGCAGAGCUAGGGCCGCCACACAAAUAGUAUUUCCAAACUGGCAAACCCGCAAACACACGAAAGGCAAACAUUUUCGACAGCGAAUAUAUGCCCCCUUCUUCCCGCCCCGCGCAGCUAAACUGUAAUAGGAACAGCCAUUAUUCGCAGUAUCCCAGGGAUUCCUCAUUUGUUUUGCAUUAUGAGAAAUAAGGAGUCCUUGUGAAGUGCUUUUCCCCAUAGAUGUGACUUUUGAAUCCAAAUACCAAUGACGAUCUUUGUAAGUCACAUGCUCUCUGCUCUGCUGGUCUCAGAAGGGGUCGAGCUAAUGGGGUUUCCUGACUGUACCGAAG
rnacentral:lncRNA from 12 species